GACGAAUGCUGGCUGCGUGCUUAACACAUGCAAGUCGAACGGUGAAGGAGAGCUUGCCCUCCGGAUCAGUAGCGAACGGGUGAGUAACACGUGGGCAACCUGCCCCUCACUCUGGGAUAACGCCGGGAAACCGGCGCUAAUACCGGAUACGACCAGGCGCGACAUCUCGCCUGGUGGAAAGAAUUUCGGUGAGGGAUGGGCCCGCGGCCUAUCAGCUAGUUGGUGGGGUAACGGCCAGCCAAGGCGACGACGGGUAGCCGGCCCGAGAGGGCGACCGGCCACACUGGGACUGAGACACGGCCCAGACUCCUACGGGAGGCAGCAGUGGGGAAUAUUGCACAAUGGGCGCAAGCCUGAUGCAGCAACGCCGCGUGAGGGACGACGGCCUUCGGGUUGUAAACCUCUUUUAGCAGGGAAGAAGCGAAAGUGACGGUACCUGCAGAAAAAGCACCGGCUAACUACGUGCCAGCAGCCGCAGUAAAAC
rnacentral:rRNA from 1 species